UCCCCUCAUCUGUAAGAUGGUCAAGACACAUGGGGAGUGCUUUGGGGACUUUCUGCCUGGCUCCCAUAGCUUCUCCCUCGACUUUUCUGGGCCUUUCAGGACUCUACCUCAGGAAGAAGCCCUGGAGGUUUUCACAUCUCAGGACAAUGCACCUGAGUAGGACUGUGUCCCGCUGAGAAGGAGGGGAACACAACUUCUCAUUUCUAUGCAGUCCUUGCCACCGAGCAGCAGUGGAGUUGCAACGCAGGAGUUGUUUGUUUGGCACGCUCAGAGGGAGAAAAGCUGAACAAGCAGAUAGAUCUCUUCCUUCAAGUCGUGUUUCCACACCCCAGUGGAGCAGGAAGGGGGUGUCCCAUCAGUACGAGGGUUGGGCCAAUUGCAUUUUUCCCCA